CAGGGGUCUCCAAAUUUAAUACUGUGCUGCCUCCUGCCACCACGGAAACAGAUUGACACAAGGGCCAGUGGAAUAGCUGAUUUAGUAUGGGUGCCACCCACAGAGCCUGAGAACCUGCAUUCGAUCCCCGGGAUCCACAUGGAGGAAGGAGAGAAUCGAUUACACACAAAUGAGUUUACUCAAGUCAGCCUGCUCAGUGCUCUAGCCAAAACACAUCAUGGACAUACAGACCCAAACUUCUGCACAACGGAGACAGGCCUGAGAGCUCUUCAGAGGACUGACCCAACAGCAUAUUAACUGGACGCAAGGAAUGAAACUAAGGGAGACAAGCAGGCUGGAGCAUCUAAACUGCAGUUCCCAGCAGCUGCACAGGACUUUACUACCUGAGCCGCCUCCCCAGCCCUCCAUCUUGAUGAGCAGGCAGCAGCCGAAGUACAACUCACAGUGGCAUCAGGCGAAGACCCAAGCACAGUCUCUAAAUCAGAAUCUUGAACCAGCUUCAGGGAAUGCAGUUAAUACAGGAAGUGACCCCCAGACGAACAAAUAGGAUACAGUGAAAUGGAAUUAUGAGCCUGGCAGUGAACAGUGGUGGGAACUUCCCAUCCCUGUGGCUGCCAGCUUUCGUUCUGGUCCCCUCCUUGCCUUAAAUGUUCCUGGGGCUCCCAGAGCCAGUCAGCAGCUGACCUGUCAAAUCUGA